rnacentral:rRNA from 1 species
CACAUGCAAGUCGAGCGGAAACGAAGAGGUGCUUGCUCCUCUGGAGUCGAGCGGCGGACGGGUGAGUAAUGCUUGGGAAUAUGCCUUAUGGUGGGGGACAACAGUUGGAAACGACUGCUAAUACCGCAUGAUGUCUACGGACCAAAGUGGGGGACCUUCGGGCCUCACGCCAUAAGAUUAGCCCAAGUGGGAUUAGCUAGUUGGUGAGGUAAUGGCUCACCAAGGCGACGAUCCCUAGCUGGUUUGAGAGGAUGAUCAGCCACACUGGGACUGAGACACGGCCCAGACUCCUACGGGAGGCAGCAGUGGGGAAUAUUGCACAAUGGGCGCAAGCCUGAUGCAGCCAUGCCGCGUGUGUGAAGAAGGCCUUCGGGUUGUAAAGCACUUUCAGUAAGGAGGAAAGGUUAAGUGUUAAUAGCGCUUAGCUGUGACGUUACUUACAGAAGAAGCACCGGCUAACUCCGUGCCAGCAGCCGCGGUAAUACGGAGGGUGCGAGCGUUAAUCGGAAUUACUGGGCGUAAAGCGUACGCAGGCGGUUUGUUAAGCGAGAUGUGAAAGCCCCGGGCUCAACCUGGGAACUGCAUUUCGAACUGGCAAACUAGAGUGUGAUAGA